ACAGGGAUUGCCUCAGUAACGGCGAGUGAAGCGGCAACAGCUCAAAUUUGAAAUCUGGCCCCCUCGGGGUCCGAGUUGUAAUUUGGAGAGGAUGCUUCGGGUGUGGCCCCGGUCUAAGUUCCUUGGAACAGGACGUCACAGAGGGUGAGAAUCCCGUACGUGCCCGGUGGCCGCCCCCGUGUGAAGCUCCUUCGACGAGUCGAGUUGUUUGGGAAUGCAGCUCAAAAUGGGUGGUAAAUUUCAUCUAAAGCUAAAUAUUGGCCAGAGACCGAUAGCGCACAAGUAGAGUGAUCGAAAGAUGAAAAGCACUUUGGAAAGAGAGUUAAACAGUACGUGAAAUUGUUGAAAGGGAAGCGCUGGCAACCAGACUUGCGCGGGGUCGAUCAUCCGGUGUUCGCACCGGUGCACUCGGCCCCGCGCAGGCCAGCAUCGGUCUGGGCGGCUGGAUAAAGGCCUUGGGAAUGUGGCUCUCUUCGGGGAGUGUUAUAGCCCAAGGUGCAAUGCAGCCCGCCUGGACCGAGGACCGCGCUCCGGCUAGGAUGCUGGCGUAAUGGUUGUCAGCGACCCGUCU
rnacentral:rRNA from 1 species